GGAAGCGUCGCAGGUCGGUAGAGCGUGCCCAGACCCACCGACCUGACGAACGAUCCCUCGACUAAGGUCGGGAUGCCCCGAGGGUCGACCGUAGAGUCCCAAACUCCCUCGACCUCGGGAUGCACUGCAGGUCAGCAAAGCGUCCUCAGACCCGCCGACCUGACACAAGACUCCUCGACCAAGGUCGAGGCACCCCGAGG
rnacentral:lncRNA from 1 species